rnacentral:lncRNA from 1 species
ACCAGAGCUUGGGUUGGGGUGACAGGUUUGGGCCCUGUCAUCUCUACCAGCACCUCCCAAGCCACCCCAAUACAGCUCUGAAACAAGCCUCCCAGCUCACAGGCACUUUCCCUCCAUCCCUGCCAGCCUGUCUCUGCCGGUGGGCUCAGGCUGUUAAUCGGCUUGACAGGUGAGGUCCUAAGAUACUGAAACCUCCUCCUCAAUAUGUUUUAUUCCAGGUUUUAGAAUCUCUGGAUGGGUGUGGGAAGAGGCACGUCAGUGGCGGCAGGAGGCCCACAGUUCUGUGCCUGGAAAGUGGAGAACUGGAAGAGAAGAUGAGAAACAUUCCCCUCAAGGCAAAAAUGUCCCCAAGAUGUAUUCUGGAGAAUUCAGCCCAGUCAGAGUGAGAUGAACGAACCGUGUGGAUGCCCUCAAGAUGUGCACGACCAUGGAAUGGGAGACUGGAGGGACCCAUGGAUCCCAACCUUGGACCGGGUUCCCCCAGUAUGAGCCAUGAGCCAGUUGAAUCUGAAUGCGAAGAAGGAAUGAGGACCGACCGGAGUCACGAUGCCUAACAGACCAAUGCUUUCUGACUCAGCUCCUCUCUACCCUGAAUAUGAGAGACCCUAAUAGUUAGGCAGGAAUAUCAUCGCCCCUAUUCAGCAUGAAGAAGUUACAGAAAAUGGACCUUCAUCCUUCUGCAGCCCCUAGGAUUAAGGGUCCUCUUGUAGAAGGGAAAGGGGAGAUAUGUGGGAAGCAUUCAAACCAGAGUGACUCCAGUUUGAAUAAGGGCUAAGAAAAGAGAAGCUGGGUCACCUACCGGCAAUUAAGGGCUGCACAGCCUGCAAUCGCCUAGCUAAUGAUAGCUAAGUAAUAAUGAUAGUAAUAAUGAUACCUUCUCUUUUAUAAAAAAGAGGGGACAUGUUGGGAAAAAAGCUGAGUGUUGGGGGGGAAACCGAGGCAGGGCUUGCAUAAUGUCCUCUGGAAUGUGUCUAGACUUGCUGGCUCCUUGCUUCUAGCCUUCCUAGGCUCCUAGGUCCCUAUUCCCAGUAUCUCAAGUAGCAGAACAUGUUCCAUGUAAAUGCUAAACCAUCACAGUUGUAGAUCAUGCGCCUGCCCUUUUGACCUCCACGUUAUCACCACCUGUUUCUUUGUUGGAUUACCAAUAAACACUGUGGGCUCCCAGAGCUCGGGGCCUUCACAGCCUCCACGAUGGCC